AGAAGAAAAAGGUUCAACAAGUCGUAAUCUAAACAAAAUUGAAGAUGAUGGCCGAGAGAAAACAAAGAAAGCUUCCAGGACCAGAAAGAAAGAAAAGUCGAGACUAUGAUGGGAUAUUCAUCGACAGACCAAUUCAAAUUCAAGCGCUACGUGUAAGUGGUUCCGUCAAACAGUACGUGAAGACGACCCCUACCAGUUCAUGAAGACUGCCCCUACCAGUUGAAAGACGAAGACUCGCAAGACCACGGAAGAAAGAAUGAGCGCGCCGCGCCGCAAGACUUACACGAUUGUAGUGAUUCAAUAAUAAUUAAAUUAAAUUUAUCCG